GUGAUCUGGUUGUAAACAGCACCUGGACUAUAGCACAUGAACACACCGGUGUUUAGCUAGUUGGCCAUAAGUCCACGUUCAUCUUCCCCUGCGCAGCUAGGUGGCAAGAUGUCGAAAAAAAGAAAACUGGAUGUAAGAGAAUUCUUUGGAAGUCGAAGUGUGACAGAUAAUAGAAAUCCAGAAGAAGAUACAGGAGGAGGUAGAGCAAGAGAGGCUGGAGGAGAUGGAGGAGGAGAUACAGGAGGAGGUAGAGGAGGAGAGGCUGGAGGAGAUGGAGGAGGAGAGCCUGGAAGCUCACAGGUGUGAUAGCAUCUGUUCCUUGGAGAACUGAGCAGUCCAGUGUGUCCGGAAAAUCCUGCAUGACAAAAAAACACUUCAGGGACCAGCCACUUAAUCGAUGAUCAAAGGCCUGUUCAGACAACACAUUUGUAGAAUUAUUUUUCCUUGUGCUUUCGUAUAGACUGACAAGUAUUUUCAGGUAUUUUAUUACCUCAACAUGCUAAAUUUUCUGCAGUCUUCCUCAGGAGCCAUGCGAUGUUGCUGUGACAAGUGUUAUCAGCUGAUCUUAUACAGGUUUGGUCUGAAGGGAUGACCACACCCCCUUGUCCAAGUCCUAUUGGCCUGUUUCUGGAUCUCAGUGGCCUCCCUGAUCCAGUGGUGCUACUGAUUGUUCUCUGACUGAAUGGUCUUGGAAGUUUCCAAGUCUAUGAUGGGGUUUUCCCUUUUACAGUGGUUUAAAAUUGCAGGUUUUGGGUUGUUCUGUUUCCAGAUGUUUUUCUGUUGUAUUCUGUCUAGUGUGCUGUUUUACCGAAUGAGAAGCAUGGCGCUUUGUAUAUGACAUUAUAUUCAUCUUCCGUUUGAUUGAAUCAAAUAUCCUGUCUAUCAUGUAAUCAAACAUACAUCAGAGAAACAGGAAGAUCGUUCUGCAACCACCAGAGAGAACACCACACAUGAUGUCAAAGAGAAACAUCUGGAAGGUGCAUACAAGCUAUCAAAGAACAAGUCGGAAGAAUAGGAGAACCUAAAAAAAUCAGCCAUUUCAGACCAAUGAAAAAGGGAAAACCACAUCAUGGACUGGGAAAACACCAUGGCCAGAGAACACCAAAUACUAUCAGGCCAUUAGGACAGUGCACCCUGAUGAGGGAGCAUACAUACUGCCCCAUACCUGGAAUGCCAUCCUCAAGAUGCUGUGGGACAGCAGGAGGUGCAAACCUGUAUAUGAUGAGGUGAAAAGUCACAUGGCUUCUCUAAGGAACACUGCAGGAGGUUAGCUGUGUCAAGGUAAUCAAACACUUGAAAAUGCUUGGCUGUAAAAAAAAAAAAAAAAGAUAUUAUUCAGAUAGAAUGGACCUUUUUGGUAAAAUGUAGAAAUGCUGUGAUAUUCCUGUUAAAAUGAUGACUUUACAUAACACAAAUGUCACAAAAGAGAGAACUCUCACAGAGUUGAACUGUAUAAGAGACUUUUGAUUCUGUGCGCCAGAGCGAGUGAUGGCACAAUGGAAAACUAGCUCUGUGCAAAAAAGUAAACAAAAAAAAAGAGAAGUCAUUUUGUUUUUCAUACAUGCUUCCCUGUGGACUCUUCUUCAAAACAAACUGAAGUUUUGUUUACUUUUACUUUCCCCAAAAAGCACUGUGUUUAUACUUGAUGUCUAACAGGAUUGAUUUAUGCACUUAAAUCUCUAUAAAACAUUUACAGACUAUUCUGGACUUGUUUAAACCUGCUUUGUUCACAUCAAUAAGGCAUGUGAAUUGAUAUCUCAAAUGUCUCCCACUGGAGCAAGAGAGGGUGGCCACUCCGCUUGAGAAAAUCAACUAAAAUAUGUUCAAAAUUGUUCUUUUUUUUAUUAUUUGGAAAACAUGGAUUUAAACAUAAACAGCUGGUAAUUUAGGACAGUGAGAAAGAUAACCAUUUAUUAUUUGAGUCAUAAAGUUGCCAAACACACUGGCUGUUAUUGAGCUACAAUCAUCUAUGAGCAGAAAAACUCAACCUCCAUGUGUGGCUCUUAUGGUGUUUGCUUCUUUGUCUUCAUGUGUUGAACAAGUUUGCAGCAUGAAUGAGACAAAAGGAAAUAAAACGUGAAAAAGUUACAUUUGUGUUUACUGAUGUAAUAUGUAGGGCUCGACCGAUUAAUCUGCCAUCUGAUUUAAUAGUCAGAUCAUGGCCUAUAAAAAGUAACUGUUAAUCAGCCAAAAGUUGCUGGAUAUUUGCUGAUGUUAACACUGGUAGUCCACAACUUCAACUUUAUGGCAUUAUCCAACAGGUACAGAAAAGGGUUUGGAGUUUUGCAUUUCAUACUAUUUAAAACUGAAACGCCUCCAACCCCUCCUCCAGUCCCAUAUGAGUCCAGAGGGCAUGGGGAUGACAGCUGAAGCAGAUUAGUUGAGUCUAAGAAAACAACCAAAGCAGGGGGGGUUUAAGCAAGAAAGAUGCUUCACUACUUUAGAUCUUGCGCUCUUUUUAUUUUGAUUUCAUUCUUUUCAGAACAAAUAAGUUCAGCAAUAAAAGAUUAUUUGAUACCAAGUUUCCAGAUAUUCUGAUGCAAAACCUCAGAGCAAAGUUUGAAUCUCCCCAUAAACCUACCUCCCACCCCAGCAGACAGACGUAGAUUUGGAAUGGCGCCUUUGGCAGCCAGCCCCGCAUGAACAUUCAUCAUGACAGCUACUUUUCAGUCAGCCUGGAGGCAUCCUUUGAUGUCCAUCACUACAGAUAUCUUAUUUUCCCAUGCACUAGAGCCCUGACGUCAUGACAGAGUGGCAACACAGCUUUAAUGCAGAUCUGACCUUAACUCAGAUACAAAUGUAUUUCAUGUAAUUACUGUGUAACUCAAUCAACACUUGCAGGACAGCUUGAAUUUGGUGACUACUCCUUAGAGAACAUU